CCUGGUGGCUCAGACGGUAAGGCAUCUGCCUACAACGCAGGAGACCCGGGUUCGAUCCCUGGGUCAGGA
rnacentral:tRNA from 1 species